AGCAAACCACAAUAUCCAGAAUUCAUAGCGAUUUCAGGACGUGGAGGACCGCCCGGUGGAGGAAUAGGGUAUCCAAUUGAUGGGUGAAAAAUCAAAAUGUCUGAUUUUGUAGCCAGCACUUUCAGCCAGUUCUAAACGGAACUGAAGUCACAACUGAUGGGGUUGCCAUGUCGUCAAACAUUGAAAAGUGAUGCUAAUCCAGUGAAUUUCCCCUUCACUUCAAAGAGGAAGGCAUCCGAUCAGCCGACAUCAGUGCAGCAGAAAAGAAGGCAAGAGUCCCACCCCAUCAACAUCUGCAGCGGCAAUAGCAUCAAGCUCAGGGAGGUUGGGAUAUGCAAACAAGGCAAAAAUAAGCACCCCCCUACUGUUAUUAUUAUUGACAUUAGGAGGGGGGGGGGGGGCUCCAGCUUUCAGGCUGGAAUAAGCUCAAGCUCAACAUCAUCUGACUUUGAAACAAGCCAGGACAGCCAAAGGAGACUUGGAGUACAUACAAAGCUUCUGCAAGAGGUCGAAGCAGUGGGUGGUGAAGAACACCGCCACCGCGCCAAAGCCUGCUAAACCAAAUGCCAUUACCCAACACAAGAAGAGGUUCACCAGCUGAAGAACAUUCAGGACCCUGCCUGGAACAUUCAGGCAACACAACGUACAUAUUCAGUUAGACUGAUGUUGUAGUAUAAUAUAGAAUGCCCAGUAUGCUCACAACUGCAUUGUGGUAAAGAUAUUUCUAGCUCUUGUACAUAUGUAUAUAAUGGUGUUAUAUAAUAUUUUUGAAUGUAUUAGAUUCAGUGAGUAAACAUUUCCAGGUGCAUCAGAAACCAAUAAAGUGUUGACUUCAACUUC